GAUAAUUAGUAACUAGCCAGGGCCCGCCCGGUGCCACUGGUCUGAAACUACCCCAAGACCUGUACGCAGACUCAGGGAGACGAGAAGGAGACGAGGAUGAGGGGAAGGAAAUGCAUGGAAGGGAGAGAAAAAUUAGCCAGGAAGGCAUCAAAAGGGGAGGACUGGCAGCAGAGACAAGACUGAGGAGAGAAGAGGGAAUAGGUCCAAAGAAUGAGGGAGAGAAAGGUAAGGGAACAAAGGGGGCUAAAAGGUGUAACAGAGCUGGAAGAGGAGAAGAGAAGAAAGAGAGACUGACCCAAAAAGAAGACUGAACUACUGGGAGUGCUUUCCCCACCCAGAUAGGACCUGAUCCAGUGAAUUUACCUCUGUUGGAUGCAGUAGUCACAGCUCCCAGUCUGCCAUCUUCUAUCUCCUAAGUAUUGAUGGAUUCCUUAUGCACCCAGAAGCCUUCUGCCUUGAUCCUGUGCACCCCGCAGACCUGCAGCUGCAGAGGCUUUUAGAACAGCCUGUCUUGAAGCCAGUGAGACUUGAAGACUGUGAAAACAGAAAUGGACGUCAGUUUGUAGGUUGGGACCUCACUGGGUGCUGUGGCUGGAUGGCACGUGGAGCAUCCUGAGCUGAACGUGGAAUCUAUCCAACUACUGGAAAGGAGGUAAGUCUUCUCAAUCACUUCAAUCUAAAGGGCUAACCUAAAGAGCUGUCCGUUCUAAACUAUAUGCACAUAAACAACAAAGAAAACAAGAAAGAAAGAAGCGUUCUUUGAACAACUCCAUCAUCACCUUUACCUUCACUGUAACCCACCAGCCUGUGUUAGUGAGUGGUUUGAGGCUCUGCUCAGUAUUUCAGGUUCUCCAGUGCAGGAAAACUAGUGAUCUUCAUAGUGUUUCUUCAGAGUUCCAAUUUCUGAGCAAUCAGACCGUGCACUCCUAUUUUAUGCACUGACACAACAGAUUGCAAUAUGGUAUUUCGGAGGUUUUUACCACUCCCAUAACAUGCUGCUGGGGGGUGUGAGGUAUUGAGGAUAGCAGAGGCCAAGGUGGGAAGCAGCAAAGCUUUAAGGCUGGAUUUGAGUUUUAGUAGCAGAGCAGGACGUAAAUAGUAGAGUGCCAUAACCCAAACAACAUUGUCCUGUAACCAAAGUGUACCUCACAGAUUUUGUCUUGAGAACGAGUGUUUGAAAGAAAAGGAGUUUGUUUUGCUAUACUCAUUUUCAUUUAUUACCACUGUUUAGGAUGUGUUGAUUUCCUUAAUUGCAACGAUUUGCUGGGCCGUGACUUGAUUCUUAAAUUGCUCAGACUGCUGUGAUUUUGGUGGCUGUGGCAGCACAAAGCUCCUGAAGUUUGGAAACACUGAAUGAUUUUGCUCGUUCUUCUCUUGUUUGCAGUACCUGUUUUUGAAUUUCUUGCUGCAAAAUUGCUUGCUUUUCCUUUUUCCUUAAGUUCAGUGCUUCAGUGAUAAGACACGAGCAGCCCUACUGCACGAAACUGGCCAGAAGUAACAGCAGGCUCAUGAAUAGUGUUUGAUUAACAAAUCGGUGUAGAUGCACAUUUGAGAAACGUAUCGAUUAGUGAUCACGAGAAGUCUGAUUUCUACUUUAUUUUAAUGGCAAACAUAAUA
rnacentral:lncRNA from 1 species